AUGAUUUACAUUUGAGUGAGUGGCGAACUGGUGAGUAACACGUGGGAAACCUGCCCAGAAGCGGGGGAUAACACCUGGAAACAGAUGCUAAUACCGCAUAACAACUUGGACCGCAUGGUCCGAGUUUGAAAGAUGGCUUCGGCUAUCACUUUUGGAUGGUCCCGCGGCGUAUUAGCUAGAUGGUGGGGUAACGGCUCACCAUGGCAAUGAUACGUAGCCGACCUGAGAGGGUAAUCGGCCACAUUGGGACUGAGACACGGCCCAAACUCCUACGGGAGGCAGCAGUAGGGAAUCUUCCACAAUGGACGAAAGUCUGAUGGAGCAACGCCGCGUGAGUGAAGAAGGGUUUCGGCUCGUAAAACUCUGUUGUUAAAGAAGAACAUAUCUGAGAGUAACUGUUCAGGUAUUGACGGUAUUUAACCAGAAAGCCACGGCUAACUACGUGCCAGCAGCCGCGGUAAUACGUAGGUGGCAAGCGUUGUCCGGAUUUAUUGGGCGUAAAGCGAGCGCAGGCGGUUUUUUAAGUCUGAUGUGAAAGCCUUCGGCUCAACCGAAGAAGUGCAUCGGAAACUGGGAAACUUGAGUGCAGAAGAGGACAGUGGAACUCCAUGUGUAGCGGUGAAAUGCGUAGAUAUAUGGAAGAACACCAGUGGCGAAGGCGGCUGUCUGGUCUGUAACUGACGCUGAGGCUCGAAAGUAUGGGUAGCAAACAGGAUUAGAUACCCUGGUAGUCCAUACCGUAAACGAUGAAUGCUAAGUGUUGGAGGGUUUCCGCCCUUCAGUGCUGCAGCUAACGCAUUAAGCAUUCCGCCUGGGGAGUACGGCCGCAAGGCUGAAACUCAAAGGAAUUGACGGGGGCCCGCACAAGCGGUGGAGCAUGUGGUUUAAUUCGAAGCUACGCGAAGAACCUUACCAGGUCUUGACAUACUAUGCAAAUCUAAGAGAUUAGACGUUCCCUUCGGGGACAUGGAUACAGGUGGUGCAUGGUUGUCGUCAGCUCGUGUCGUGAGAUGUUGGGUUAAGUCCCGCAACGAGCGCAACCCUUAUUAUCAGUUGCCAGCAUUAAGUUGGGCACUCUGGUGAGACUGCCGGUGACAAACCGGAGGAAGGUGGGGAUGACGUCAAAUCAUCAUGCCCCUUAUGACCUGGGCUACACACGUGCUACAAUGGAUGGUACAACGAGUUGCGAACUCGCGAGAGUAAGCUAAUCUCUUAAAGCCAUUCUCAGUUCGGAUUGUAGGCUGCAACUCGCCUACAUGAAGUCGGAAUCGCUAGUAAUCGCGGAUCAGCAUGCCGCGGUGAAUACGUUCCCGGGCCUUGUACACA
rnacentral:rRNA from 4 species